UGGGAGCUGUAGUACGCUCCCUGUGCCCACUUUCCUGGGCCGGGGUAGCGCUCUAGGGCAGAAGGGUAAACUCAGACACAAGGAGGGCUCUUAGAAAUGUGUGAGGAGACUGGUGAUCAGGCAAGGAUAUUAAAGGAAGAGAAUGUGGGGCUGAGAAAAGUUAUCUAUUGCUCAAUUGGACCUCUCCAGUUUCUGUGAGACAAUGUCCUUUCUAUGCACCUUGGGAGAAGAAAGAGAAUCACUGCUCCAUGCAACUAUUCAAAGACCCAAGCUUCUUCCAUCACAUGAUUCUACCAUCUUUUAGGAAUUUGUCUUUUUUUGCAUUUAACCAGAGUAGGAAAAGGAUGAGGAGAGGAGACAGAGAGGAUUGUGUGGGGGACAUUUUAUAGGUCAGGCCUGGAGAUGACAGCGUGACUUCCAUCUGUUUUGUUGUCCAACUGAGCCAUGUGGCCAUAUUUAACUGCAAAAGAGUUUGGGAGAUGUGGUCUAACUGCAGAUCUAGAUAAAGAAGAAACAGAUUUAUUGAACAUGUGGGCAGACUGCCACAACUGGGGACAAAUUAAGUGACAGGCAUGCCUUACUCAGAAUUACUUUUCCCAGUUGACCAUAGAGGCUAUGUUACUGUUGGGAAAAAAAACAAAACAAACAAAAAAACUCCCUGUGGAUAGCAUCUUCUGAGAAGAGGCACUGACAACACUCUGGGUUAUCUUUUCAUGGAUGUUUAUAUUACAAACGGCAUUGGAAGAUGGAAAUAGUGUCUCCCUUUGGAGCAGAGGGCAGUUUGGUGUCCAGGUUAACAAAGAUAUUAUCUCUCUCUGGGAAAAAGUUUAGACAGGUUUGCUUACAAACCUUGUUUAGAUUGAAGUUUCCUAAGUUUGAGGUUUCUUAGGUGUGACCCUAAACCAUAAUAUGCUCAGCAUCCAUGUGCGCCCAGCCCUUGCCCCACAAUCCUUGGUAGGCAAGAAGAACCAACAGAAACAUAAAACCUAUGCUGCCUGCUGUGGUACCAGUCACAAAAUCCUUUUCUUUUGCCUAGACAUUCUGUGUCUUCUGGAAGCACACAUGAAACAGUGCCAGGCUAACCUGUUAGCUUGCAAGUAAAGCCUCAGACCCAUUACAGUUUUUGAGAGUUACCAGUUCAAGUUUAUCAUGGUCAGCAUUUAGUAAAUGUCUCUGGCUAGCCAAACAUUUUUAGCUUUCCAGGAUCCCAAGUAGCAGGCUUAAACUGACAUUUCAUCUUUGGUUAAAUGAAAUAAGUGAUAACAGUGUAAAUUUUGUAGCCCCCAGGCAUAUGUAACAUAAUACCAAGGCCUCCACAUUGUACAACUCCGGGUGCUCUGUUCAUAUCAUAGUCUAUGAAUAUGAAAUAUAGCUGCUCUAACUAUUAUAAGAUUUCAUCAUAUCUAACACCCUUAAUAGUAGAACACACCUUUACUUUAGGUGUAACAGAAAUAA
rnacentral:lncRNA from 1 species